GCCCUGAAGGCACAAUGGUUAAGUGCUUGGCUGCUAAUCAAAAGGUUGGUGGUUCAAACCUACCUAGUGGCU
rnacentral:tRNA from 1 species